AAGACUAUACUUUCAGGGAUCAUUUCUAUAGUAGGUGACUAGAGAAGUUUCUCUGAUCGUAUAGAGCACCUGAAGCUACGAGAAGGAGACAGGGCAUCCUUUCCUGAGCGUGAAGCUGGCUCUAGUUGUUGCUUCUGCGGCUGCCUUUGGCCAUUGAUGAUCGUUCUUCCCUUCCUUUGGAAUGGGUAAUGGGAGAGGAUGGAAAA